UACGUAGGGUGCAAGCGUUGUCCGGAAUUAUUGGGCGUAAAGAGCUCGUAGGCGGUCUGUCGCGUCGGAUGUGAAAACCCAGGGCUCAACCUGGGCCUGCAUUCAAUACGGGCAGACUAGAGUUCGGUAGGGGAGACUGGAAUUCCUGGUGUAGCGGUGAAAUGCGCAGAUAUCAGGAGGAACACCGGUGGCGAAGGCGGGUCUCUGGGCAACAACUGACACUGAGGAGCGAAAGCGUGGGGAGCGAACAGG
rnacentral:rRNA from 1 species